AUAUUCUGUGUGUGUGUAAGAUUUCUCUGGAGACUUCUCAGACCUAGAUGGGGUGGUGCGCCACAGGAUGCAGGACAUGUUGGAGAGCAGCAGCUCGGGCUCUCAGACCCCAGAGAAAAGGGCCGAGUUUCCCAGCAUCCCAGGCACGCUCCUGGGCGCGGUGAAGAACAGAGAGAUGGCGGUGCAUGCGGACAUCCACCUCUAGACCCCGAACCAAAAGCACCGAGCCGCUCACCAGAAUUACAUGAUGCCCCUACGCAUGAGCUCGACGCAAUGGAAACAGACUCUUUUGAUAACGAUCCAUUCUCCGGGCCAGGCACCUAUCAUUUUCCAGAGGGAAAGGAAGCUGAAGAGUGGAACAUAAUGGCUGUCCAAGCCUGCCCAGGGGGGUUGAAUUCAAAGUGA
rnacentral:lncRNA from 1 species